rnacentral:rRNA from 1 species
UCCUAUCCUACGGGAGGCAGCAGUAAGGAAUAUUGGUCAAUGGGCGCAAGCCCGACCCAGCCAUGCCGCGUGCAGGAAGACGGCCGUAUGGGUUGUAAACUGCUUUUGUCGGGGAAUAAACCCUUGUAGCGAACGAGGAUGACGUAC